rnacentral:rRNA from 1 species
AGAGUUUGAUCCUGGCUCAGGAUGAACGCUGGCGGCGUGCCUAAUACAUGCAAGUCGAACGAGAACAAUCGGAUCUUCGGAACUGAGAAAUUCUAGUGGCGAACGGGUGAGUAACGCGUUGGUGACCUGCCCCGAAGAGGGGGAUAACAGUUCGAAAGGACUGCUAAUACCCCAUGAGCUCAUGAGAGUUAGAGGUCUUGUGAGGAAAAGGAGAAAUCCGCUUUGGGAGGGGCCUACGUCCCAUCAGCUAGUUGGUAGGGUAAAAGCCUACCAAGGCGAUGACGGGUAGGGGACCUGAGAGGGUGGCCCCCCACAAUGGAACUGAAACACGGUCCAUACACCUACGGGUGGCAGCAGUAGGGAAUAUUGCUUAAUGGACGAAAGUCUGAAGCAGCAACGCCGCGUGUGCGAUGAAGGCCUUCGGGUUGUAAAGCACUUUUUGUAGGGAUGAGGAAGGACAGUACCUGCAGAAUAAGCCUCGGCUAACUACGUGCCAGCAGCCGCGGUAAAAACGUAGGAGGCGAGCGUUAUCCGGAUUUACUGGGCGUAAAGCGCGUGUAGGCGGAUUACUAAGUUGGCUGUGAAAGCUCCUGGCUUAACUAGGAGAGGUCGGUCAAUACUGGUAGUCUAGAGUAUGUGAGAGGGAGGUGGAAUUCCGGGUGUAGUGCUGAAAUGCGUAGAUAUCCGGAGGAACACCAGAGGCGAAAGCGGCCUCCUGGCACAUGACUGACGCUCAGACGCGAAAGCUAGGGGAGCAAACGGGAUUAGAGACCCCGGUAGUCCUAGCUGUAAACGAUGUAGACUUGGCGUUGGUGGGGUCAAACCCAUCAGUGCCGGAGCUAACGCAUUAAGUCUACCGCCUGGGGACUACGGCCGCAAGGUUAAAACUCAAAGGAAUUGACGGGGACCCGCACAAGCAGCGGAGCGUGUGGUUUAAUUCGAUAUUACACGAAGAACCUUACCAGGGUUUGACAUGCAAGUGGUAGUGAAGCGAAAGCAGAACGACCCCUCGGGGAGCUUGCACAGGUGCUGCAUGGCUGUCGUCAGCUCGUGUCGUGAGAUGUUCGGUUAAGUCCGCUAACGAGCGCAACCCUCGUCGUGUGUUACAAGUGUCACGCGAGACCGCCGGUCAUAAACCGGAGGAAGGUGGGGAUGACGUCAAGUCAGCAUGGCCUUUAUGUCCUGGGCUACACACACGCUACAAUGGCCAGUACAAUUGGUAGCGAAGUCGCGAGGCGGAGCCAAUCCG